rnacentral:rRNA from 1 species
GAUGAACGCUGGCGGCGUGCCUAAUACAUGCAAGUCGAGCGAAUGGAUUAAGAGCUUGCUCUUAUGAAGUUAGCGGCGGACGGGUGAGUAACACGUGGGUAACCUGCCCAUAAGACUGGGAUAACUCCGGGAAACCGGGGCUAAUACCGGAUAACAUUUUGAACCGCAUGGUUCGAAAUUGAAAGGCGGCUUCGGCUGUCACUUAUGGAUGGACCCGCGUCGCAUUAGCUAGUUGGUGAGGUAACGGCUCACCAAGGCAACGAUGCGUAGCCGACCUGAGAGGGUGAUCGGCCACACUGGGACUGAGACACGGCCCAGACUCCUACGGGAGGCAGCAGUAGGGAAUCUUCCGAAAUUGACGAAAGUCUGACGGAGCAACGCCGCGUGAGUGAUGAAGGCUUUCGGGUCGUAAAACUCUGUUGUUAGGGAAGAACAAGUGCUAGUUGAAUAAGCUGGCACCUUGACGGUACCUAACCAGAAAGCCACGGCUAACUACGUGCCAGCCGCCGCUGUAA